AGCGAACGCUGGCGGCAGGCUUAACACAUGCAAGUCGAACGCGUGCAGCAAUGCACGAGUGGCGCACGGGUGAGUAACGAGUGGAUAUCUGCCUUUUGGUUCGGAAUAACCCCGGGAAACUGGGGCUAAUACCGGAUGGUUCCUACGGGAUAAAGAUUUAUCGCCAAAAGAUGAGUCCGCGUCCGAUUAGCUAGUUGGUGAGGUAAUGGCUCACCAAGGCGACGAUCGGUAGCUGGUCUGAGAGGACGAUCAGCCACACUGGGACUGAGACACGGCCCAGACUCCUACGGGAGGCAGCAGUGGGGAAUAUUGGACAAUGGGGGCAACCCUGAUCCAGCCAUGCCGCGUGAGUGAUGAAGGCCUUCGGGUUGUAAAGCUCUUUUGGCGGGGACGAUGACGACGGUACCCGCAGAAUAAGCCCCGGCUAACUUCGUG
rnacentral:rRNA from 1 species